rnacentral:lncRNA from 13 species
CAGAAUGUAAGCAAACCCCAAAGUGGUUCAAUUUUAAAACUGAAAGGCUGGAAAUAUUCGCGGUGCUGAUUUUUGGGGCACUGAAACUGUUUCUUCCGCUCCUGCUUUCCCUGUCUGUAGGCGGCCCCUCCCGGCCGUGCUGCGGGGCGGGAGGAGCUCGGUGACAGGAGGACCCGGGGCAGGCGGGGGUCGGGGCAUCCUCCCCGUCAUGCCCAGCUCUCCCUGCAGGUGUCAGCCUUGCUCCACGCUCCCGCCCGUCCUGCCGCCGCACCUGGGCCUGCCUCCCGCCAGCUGCCUCGGUAGCCUCGUCCUCAUUCCAUAGAACUCGGGGCUCGACCCGGCGGGGCCGCGCCUUGCAGACCCCUAGCAGUGCGCAUCGGGGCGGUGCUGGUGUUCCUAAAAUUGCCGUGGCUCCCAGUUUGAUCCUCCUCCGAAGUGCCCGGCUAAAUGCCUCCUCCCGAGUUUUGUUCGGGGGCUUCUCACCUUACAAGUGUUCCUGCGGGCUGAGAAGAGCCCUUUGGUCAUGAGGAUGGGGCAGAGGGACCCCGUGUGCAUGGUGUCAUCAGCAAGGAUCUCCUCUUCCCCAGCACGCUGAGAAGGGACAGGGAAGGUGUCCUGGGCUGAUGACACAAUUCAAUUGCAAGGGGCAGUACUUCACCAGGCUCACAGAGGGAAACUGACAAAGCCCCGCUGCAAUUUAUACCAGCAGCAACAUAGAUAUUUAUACAGAAAAUCUGGGGAUGGACUUGGCCAGCUGUUGCUGCUGCCUCUUGCGGAGAAGUCAGAGCCAUGCUUAUGGCGGAGACUGUAAUUCCCUCAGUAGCCUCCCACCUUCAAGAAAUGUUCUCUCCAGUGGUUCUGGCCUGAGGCUCCAGCUCAGUCCUGUGGGGUUUUGUUCUGUACUGCAUCUUCUGCUCUGGUCCUGCUCACACAGCAAUGCACUGCAAAUGAGAGUCAGGGAAGGCAUUUCACUGCUUGGUAAUUUAUGCUCACGUCACUCUUGCUGUGUAAAUAACUCUACAGGACACCAGCCAGUGAAGAGACACAUCCCCAGUUUAUGGGAAGCACAGGUAGGUUUCUGUGCCUCCACUACCUGCUUCUGACUCCUGCAAGGGCCGGAAACAUGUAAACCCUGCUCAGGACAAAUGAUCUAAAACGUUGUGG